UCUUUGUAGUAAUACAAGGCAUACGGCUCAGUAACGCGUAGUCAACCUACCCUAUGGACGAGAAUAAUCUCGGGAAACUGAGCAUAAUUCUUGAUAGAUCAUAAUGCCUGGAAUGGUUUAUGGUUAAAAUGAUUCGUCGCCAUAGGAUGGGACUGCGGCCUAUCAGCUUGUUGGUGAGGUAAUGGCCCACCAAGGCGAUUACAGGUACGGGCUCUGAGAGGAGAAGCCCGGAGAUGGGUACUGAGACACGGACCCAGGCCCUAUGGGGCGCAGCAGGCGAGAAAACUUUGCAAUGUGCGAAAGCACGACAAGGUUAGUCCGAGUGAUUUCUGCUAAAGAGAUCUUUUGCUAGUUAUAAAACCACUAGUGAAUAAGGGGUGGGCAAGUUCUGGUGUCAGCCGCCGCGGUAAAACCAGCACCUCAAGUGGUCAGGAUGAUUAUUGGGCCUAAAGCAUCCGUAGCCGGCUCUGUAAGUUUUCGGUUAAAUCUAUACGCUUAACGUAUGGGCCGCCGAAAAUACUGUAGAGAUAGGGAGUGGGAGAGGU
rnacentral:rRNA from 1 species